AAACGUUUCGAAGCAAAUGUUGCUGUCACACAAAUAGUUAAAUUAUUCGUUGUGUCGACAUUUAGCUAAAAUCACGUGACUUGAUAAGUUUUUACAUCGAGAAACAUUUCUAAUCAAGACUUCAUAGACGAGAGUUGAACUUCCUCUGGACGUAAAUACGAACACGCAGGGUUGACUUCUGUCUGCAUCAGUAUGUCUCUGACAAUGUCUAAAGGUGACGGGGUGACUGUUAUCACCGUCAGCACAAACCCAAAGAGUAAAUGGCCCAUUCUGUGUCAGAUUCUGGGUACCCUGUGUUACAGUCCAGUGUGUUCUGUAGCUCACAAUAUGAAAGGAAAACUGACAGAAACUCUGACAGCUCUUGGGAUUGUACAGAUGAUCGUGGGAAUCAUAAAUAUCGCAAUGGGGAUUUUUCUUGUAAGCAUCUAUUGGUACUAUAGCCUCAUUCGGGACUCACAAGCACCUUUUUGGCUCGGUGGUAUGUUUCUUGCAGUUGGAAUCGUGUGUAUUCUUGCUGCAAAGUUUCCCAGUCCGUGCGUGUUAGUCAUCGCAGUGAUUUUGAACAUAGUCAGUGCUGCGCUGGCGAUCACAGCUGUUGUGUUGCAUUCAGUGGAUCUGGCAACAAACUUCUCUCCAUACAACUAUCCAUACUGUAAUGAGGAUGAUGUCGAUUAUUAUUCACGUUAUCCUGUAACAGCGUCCCCUGAACGGAGCAGGAAUCAGGAAAUGUGUCUGUACUACAGACAUCUCAGUCAGAUGAUCUAUAGAGGUGUUAAUAUCAUGAUGAUAGUUUUGGCAGUUCUUCAGCUCUGUGUUACCAUCAGCUUCUGUGUCGUGACUCUGAAAGCUUUGUGCAAGAAGAGCGAAGAUGCACAGUCUGUGGAGGACCCACAACUUUACAAGCCUCUCGUGGAGGACGCUACUUGCAAUCCUGCAUGCUAGAAUGAACAUGGAUGAAAAAGCAACACAAUUAUGUUACAGGUUCAGGGUUUUGAGGUGGAUCAUUUACAGCAGAGCUGCAUUUAAAAAUAAAUAACUAGAGCACCUCUUGCAUUUAUGUUACAGAUAGCCAUUUUAUUAUAUUUACUUUGUAGAAAAAAUUUUAUAUUCAUGAGUUGAAUUUGUUCUCGCCAUUUACAGCUGACUCUAAAUAAAUCUAGUUUUUGCAAGUUUAUUUUAUAUACUGUUAAAUAUAAUUUAACCUCGCAUUUAUGUGGCUUGCUAUGGUAUUAAUCAAGCUUUUAUUUUCAUGUAAACAUGUAAAGAUUAUUUCAGAAACAAAAUGGCAUUCUUUUAAAAUUACUUUUUUGGCCACUAGGUGGCGACAGGAUAUUAUACUUACCAUUGAGGAAGCAUAACUAGACACCCAGUCAAUGUCAGAGGAUAAAUGUCUAGUGCUAAAUUUAAUUUACCAAACAAAAGCUUAACAUUAACAUUAGGAAAAGGUAGAACUUCCACCAUAAGCGCAUUCAAUGUAUAGAGUUGAAAUGAAAACCUAUAAGAUUUGAUACAAAUAGAUCAACUCUAAACUCAGUUACUGUUACUCAUUUACACUUUUCUCUUUGUUGUUUUUAAAUUUAAGUCUUUGUUUAUGCUCGGGCUCAUGACUAUAACUAUCUGCAGUCACUUUGAUCAGGUGACCAAAAUGACGAGACCAACAAACAAGUAAUCCUUUACCGCAACUAAAACAUUUAAUGUGCAUCUAUUAGAUUUUUUAUUUACACUGUGCACCUGUAAGAGGUUUCUUUUACUAUAUUUGCAUAUAUUACCACAUGUUGAUGUCAUUUAAGUAUACAGACAGUCAUUAUCUUAAAAUAACCCACAAUAUAAAGCACUUUUUUUGACAACUGUAUGUUAUCCUGCUUAAUGCACAGAUUUUUACCAAAUCAAUAAAUAAAUAGACAACA